AUUGAACGCUGGCGGCAUGCUUUACACAUGCAAGUCGAACGGUAACAGGCCGCAAGGUGCUGACGAGUGGCGAACGGGUGAGUAAUGCAUCGGAACGUGCCCAGUCGUGGGGGAUAACGCAGCGAAAGAUGUGCUAAUACCGCAUACGAUCUAUGGAUGAAAGCGGGGGACCGUAAGGCCUCGCGCGAUUGGAGCGGCCGAUGUCAGAUUAGGUAGUUGGUGGGGUAAAGGCCUACCAAGCCGACGAUCUGUAGCUGGUCUGAGAGGACGACCAGCCACACUGGGACUGAGACACGGCCCAGACUCCUACGGGAGGCAGCAGUGGGGAAUUUUGGACAAUGGGCGCAAGCCUGAUCCAGCAAUGCCGCGUGCAGGAAGAAGGCCUUCGGGUUGUAAACUGCUUUUGUACGGAACGAAACGGUCUGGGUUAAUACCCUGGGCUAAUGACGGUACCGUAAGAAUAAGCACCGGCUAACUACGUGCCAGCCGCCGCGGUAACAC
rnacentral:rRNA from 1 species